GACGAACGCUGGCGGCGUGCUUAACACAUGCAAGUCGAGCGGAAAGGCCCUUUCGGGGGUACUCGAGCGGCGAACGGGUGAGUAACACGUGAGUAAUCUGCCCUUCACUUGGGGAUAACUACCGGAAACGGCGGCUAAUACCCGAUAUGACCAAUCACUGCAUGGUGUGUUGGUGGAAAGUUUUUUCGGUGGAGGAUGUGCUCGCGGCCUAUCAGCUUGUUGGUGGGGUAAUGGCCUACCAAGGCUUCGACGGGUAGCCGGCCUGAGAGGGUGACCGGCCACACUGGGACUGAGACACGGCCCAGACUCCUACGGGAGGCAGCAGUGGGGAAUAUUGGACGAUGGGCGAAAGCCUGAUCCAGCAACGCCGCGUGAGGGAUGACGGCCUUCGGGUUGUAAACCUCUUUCGGCCGGGAAAAUAAUGAUGGUACCAGCAGAAUAAGCACCUGCAAACUACGUGCCAGCAGCCGCGGUAA
rnacentral:rRNA from 1 species